AUUGAACGCUGGCGGCAGGCCUAACACAUGCAAGUCGGACGGUAGCACAGAGAGCUUGCUCUCGGGUGACGAGUGGCGGACGGGUGAGUAAUGUCUGGGGAUCUGCCCGAUAGAGGGGGAUAACCACUGGAAACGGUGGCUAAUACCGCAUAACGUCGCAAGACCAAAGAGGGGGACCUUCGGGCCUCUCACUAUCGGAUGAACCCAGAUGGGAUUAGCUAGUAGGCGGGGUAACGGCCCACCUAGGCGACGACCCCUAGCUGGUCUGAGAGGAUGGCCAGCCACACUGGAACUGAGACACGGUCCAGACUCCUACGGGAGGCAGCAGUGGGGAAUAUUGCACAAUGGGCGCAAGCCUGAUGCAGCCAUGCCGCGUGUAUGAAGAAGGCCUUCGGGUUGUAAAGUACUUUCAGCGGGGAGGAAGGCGAUGUGGUUAAUAACCGCGUCGAUUGACGUUACCCGCAGAAGAAGCACCGGCUAACUCCGUGCCAGCCGCCGCCGUAA
rnacentral:rRNA from 1 species